CAGUUGUAGUUUUUUUUCUCAUUUCUAUUUAUUCUUAUUAUACAUUAUUUAUAUAUACAUAUUUUAGUAUUUACAUUUUAACAUUCUAUAUUCAGUGGAGUUCUAUAUUUCCAAUCAUUUAACUUACUCACUAAAAUUUCUGUGUAAAUUUGUUGUUUUCGUACUGGUGUGCUUAGCAUUGUUGUUAGUUUUUUAUUCUCCUUUCUUAAAUUUCUGAAAAUGUCAAUUUUUCAAAAUUUACAGCUGCCCAAACUCCAAAAUGAUGGUAGAGAAUUGACCAAGAAAAAUAAAGAAAUCUGUUAACAGGCCAUGUAUGCCUUUUUAAUUCCUAUUUUUUCCUCUUUUUCAAUUUUUUAAUAUUUCAUAUAUUUUGUAUCACUAGGCAGAAGACAUUUAACUAUUUAGAGAUUGCAUGGUAAAGUAGUUAGUAUUGUUACAGUAAUUUAUAGAAUCAGUAAACCUUAGAGGACACUAGUAAAUAGAAUAUUAGAAAGGGAAACUGUUGUUCCUAUUAAUCUUCAAAUUUGAGCAUUUAGUUUAGAAAGCACAGGCUAUUUGAUUAGGUUGCAUGUUUAUUACAUGUUUUUGUCCUACUGCUUUUUUCUAACAGGUAAAGAAGCAUUAGGGAGAGUUCAGGAAUGGUUGUAGUUAAUUAGGGCUAACUGGAAUUUUAUUUUAAAAAUGCUCACAAUACAGUGUGUGUGGUUCCUUUUAGUUUUUAUUUUGAGGGUGGCUCUUACUUCCCUCAUUUAGCUGUGCUUCUUUUCACAGGGAUGCCCGGGUAGUUAAAGACAUGGCAACUGGAAAAUCCAAAGGCUAUGGUUUUGUAUCUUUUUAUAACAAACUGGAUGCAGAAAAUGCGAUUGUGCAUAUGGGAGGUCAGUGGUUGGGUGGUCGUCAAAUCCGAACCAAUUGGGCCACACGUAAACCACCUGCACCUAAAAGUACACAAGAAAACAACACUAAGCAGUUGAGAUUUGAAGAUGUAGUAAACCAGUCAAGUCCAAAAAAUUGUACUGUGUACUGUGGAGGAAUUGCAUCUGGGUUAACAGAUCAGCUUAUGAGACAGACAUUCUCACCAUUUGGACAAAUUAUGGAAAUAAGAGUUUUCCCAGAAAAGGGCUAUUCAUUUGUCAGAUUUUCCACCCAUGAAAGUGCAGCCCAUGCCAUUGUUUCGGUGAACGGUACUACGAUUGAAGGACAUGUGGUUAAAUGCUAUUGGGGUAAAGAAUCUCCUGAUAUGACUAAAAACUUCCAACAGGUAAUUCAAUUUUUCAUAGCACUCUUUAAGGUUUCCAUCUUACAUGUCACAUAAAAGCUUUGGAAACUCUGUAAAAUAAACAAUAAAAUAAAGCAUAUAGCUACUUUCAGUUGAUUGUAUUUCAAAAUUGAUUAUUUGCGGUAUUAACUGAAUCUUAAUACUUUCUUUUCACAGGUGUCACCACCCCAAUAAACUUAGACAAUGAUAAAUAACAGAGUCCUAUUCACAUAAGGGUGCUUACUUAGUUUUUCUCUUCCUUGUCUCCCACUCUUUCUUCAUAUACGGUGUUUCUUACGUGUUCCCU
rnacentral:sRNA from 1 species